ACACUGUUCAUGGGUUACCGCGGCUGCUGGCACGGAGUUAGCCGGUGCUUCUUCUGUGAGUGAUGUCCUUCCUGCCGGCUAUUAACCCGCAGGCCUUCUUCCUCACUGAAAGUGCUUUACAACCCGAAGGCCUUCUUCACACACGCGGCAUGGCUGGAUCAGGGUUGCCCCCAUUGUCCAAUAUUCCCCACUGCUGCCUCCCGUAGGAGUCUGGGCCGUGUCUCAGUCCCAGUGUGGCUGAUCAUCCUCUCAGACCAGCUACGGAUCGUCGCCUUGGUGAGCCGUUACCUCACCAACCAGCUAAUCCGACAUAGGCUCAUCCGAUAGCGCGAGGCCCGAAGGUCCCCCGCUUUCCCCCGUAGGGCGUAUGCGGUAUUAGCCUGGGUUUCCCCAGGUUAUCCCCCACUACCGGGCAGAUUCCUAUGCAUUACUCACCCGUCCGCCGCUCGCCACCAGGGAGCAAGCUCCCCGUGCUGCCGCUCGACUUGCAUGUGUUAGGCCUGCCGCCAGCGUUCAAUCU
rnacentral:rRNA from 1 species